CAUUCCUCAGCUUUCUCUUUCCAGAACAGGAUUAUGAACAGACGCCAUACAGAGGUAUUUGUAAGAAAGAAGGUGGAUGCCAGAAUCCUUUCUUCAAACAGAAGCUUACCAGUAAGUGCAGACUAAUACAACAGGUAGGUCAAGGCUAAUCCAGUUGGAGGGGGUGCUGCUAUAGGACUGGGUGCAGGGGAAAUAUGAGGAAUCAGAUCAGGACACUCCCUUUAAGGAAUCCCUCUCUACCAGAGGGAUAGGUGUGUGCAAAGCUCUCUUUGUUGCAGAGAGAUUGGAACUACAGCAGAGGUGUGAACAGGUGUCAGGCGGACACAGAAGAAAGAGCAGGUACUCUUCUGGAAGGUUGGAGAAGACUUUGUGAAUGUGGGGAUGUUUGAUUUGAACCUUGAAGAACAAGUAGAGACCCAAGAGGUACAGAAGAGGGGAGGUGGAAAUAGCAUUAACGAGGUGGGGCAUACAAAUUCACUUUUAAUUGAUACAACCUUUCACCUCAGAGCUGCUUCUUGUAACACAGAAGUUUUCAGAUUCUAUGAAAAGGUAUUGAGUGAAUUGAAGGCUCUGUUAAGGGGGCAACUAUCUCCCCUCCCCAUUCUCCUAUCAGCCCAUAAAACAAGAACUGACAACCUCUUGGAAGAAUUGGGAAGAAACUUUUCGAUUUUCUCUGUACAAUCUUCACUGGUUCCUCUCUGAGAGGAGGAGGGACCUCUUAGGUUGGUGUCGUUGGGAAAAGGAUAUCAAGUGUGCAUGGCUCAGCCUGUUCCUGGCUCAGCCUGUUCCUGGCUCUCUCUCUGGGACUGACCUGACUGCAAGCAGCAUGUUCUCUCUCUGCUCCUGCCUCCUCCAGGCAAUGAGCACCAGGGCGGGUCCAGCCCUUGCUUGGGAGGACUUCAAUAGUCCAGCUGCUCUGCCACGAGUGGGUGAGUGAGUUCAAGUCAGAGGAGAAGACACAGAAAGCUCAUUUGGGCCUUGGGUCUUAGCCACAUCCUCCAGUCCAUCUGGACUAGCAAUAAAGCUGACAUUUUAAUCCCUA
rnacentral:lncRNA from 1 species